CAGCAGCCGCGGUAAUACGUAGGUGGCGAGCGUUGUCCGGAAUUAUUGGGCGUAAAGCGCGCGCAGGCGGUUUCUUAAGUCUGAUGUGAAAGCCCCCGGCUUAACUGGGGAGGGUCAUUGGAAACUGGGAGACUUAGAGUGCAGAAGAGGAGAGUGGAAUUCCAUGUGUAGCGGUGAAAUGCGUAGAUAUAUGGAGGAACACCAGUGGCGAAGGCGACUCUCUGGUCUGUAACUGACGCUGAGGCGCGAAAGCGUGGGGAGCAAACAGGAUUAGAUACCCCAGUAGUCCCUGUCUCUUAUA
rnacentral:rRNA from 1 species